AUUUGUUAGUCUAUUCCUCUUUUGUCUUGAUGGAGCUGAAAACCUUCCAGUUCUGUUCACAAGAAGCUGCUGUUGGGGGAAUGCUUGGGAUCCUUCGAGCAAUCCUGGACAACAGGCGGGUGUUACAGUAUCCCUUCCACCGUGUGAGAGGAGACGUAUUCUUUGCUGCCUGCCAAAUCAUGUCUUUGCUCCAAAGUUUUUCUUUUGUGCGGUGCUCGGCAAUGUCUGUCAUCACAGCUAUUUCAUCCAGGCAGGGGACA